rnacentral:rRNA from 1 species
AUGAAGCCGGCGAGGAUGGUGCCCUCCGUGACGAAGAGCAGCUCGGAGGCGGCCGGGUGGGUGUGCAGCCGCACGACGCCGCCGACGGCGAUGUCGAGCCUGGCCGCGGAGAUGCCGAGCCCGUUGACGCCGGGGAACUGGCCCACGAAGGCCUUGAUGAGGUUGUUGGUGUUGCCGGCGGCGGCCAGGCCGUGGUAG